GACAGAGGUGCCGAGCGUUAGGCGGAAUCACUGGGCUUAAAGCGUGUGUAGGCGGAUCUGUAAGUACCUUGUGAAAUCCCACGGCUCAACCGUGGAACUGCUUGGUAUACUGCGGGUCUUGAGCCACCUAGGGGCAAGUGGAACAAACGGUGGAGCGGUGAAAUGCGUAGAUAUCGUUUGGAACGCCAAUGGUGAAAACAACUUGCUGGGGGUGUGCUGACGCUCAGGCACGAAAGCAUGGGGAUCAAACAGG
rnacentral:rRNA from 1 species